AUAACGGUCCUAAGGUAGCGAAAUUCCUUGUCAGGUAAGUUCUGACCCGCACGAAUGGUGUAACGAUCUGGGCACUGUCUCGACUACCCGCCCGGCGAAAUUGUAGUACCGGUGAAGAUGCCGGUUACCCGCGACUAGACGGAAAGACCCCAUGGAGCUUUACUGUAGCCUAAUAUUGGAUUUCGGUAUUUCACGUACAGGAUAGGUGGGAGACUGGGAAGCACAGGCGUCAGCUUGUGUGGAGUCGACCUUGGGAUACCACUCUUGGAGUGCUGGAAUUCUAACCUGCGGCUUUGAAGCAAGUCGGGGGACAUUGUUAGGUGGGCAGUUUGACUGGGGCGGUCGCCUCCUAAAGAGUAACGGAGGCGCUCAAAGGUUCGCUCUGCAUGGAUGGAAACCAUGCGUCAGAGUGUAAACGCAAAAGCGAGCCUAACUGCGAGAAUGACGGUUCGAGCAGUAACGAAAGUUGGAGUUAGUGAUCCGGCGGUAUGUGAAUGGAAAUGCCGUCGCUCAACGGAUAAAAGCUACCCUGGGGAUAACAGGCUGAUCUCCCCCAAGAGUCCACAUCGACGGGGAGGUUUGGCACCUCGAUGUCGGCUCAUCACAUCCUGGGGCUGUAUUCGGUCCCAAGGGUUCGGCUGUUCGCCGAUUAAAGUGGUACGCGAGCUGGGUUCAGAACGUCGCGAGACAGUUCGGUCCCUAUCUGUCGUGGGCGCAGGAUAUUUGAGGAGCUCUGUCCUUAGUACGAGAGGACCGGGAUGGACGUACCUCUGGUGCACCAGUUGUCAUGCCAAUGGCACGGCUGGGCAGCUAUGUACGGAACGGAUAAACGCUGAAAGCAUCUAAGCGUGAAGCCGACUCCAAGAUUAGAUAUCCCAUCGUAUAACGAGUAAGACCCCUUGAAGACUACGAGGUUGAUAGGCUGCGUGUGUAAGUGCCGUGAGGCAUUCAGCUUGGCAGUACUAAUAGGUCGAGGGCUUGACCAC
rnacentral:rRNA from 1 species